UGCGUAGGCGGGAUUUUAAGUCAGUGGUGAAAGUUUGCAGCUUAACUGUAAAAUUGCCAUUGAAACUGAAGUUCUUGAGUACAAAUGAGGUAGGCGGAAUGUGUUGUGUAGCGGUGAAAUGCUUAGAUAUAACACAGAACACCGAUUGCGAAGGCAGCUUACUGGCAUGUAACUGACGCUGAGGCACGAAAGCGUGGGGAUCAAACAGGAUUAGAUACCCUGGUAGUC
rnacentral:rRNA from 1 species